rnacentral:ncRNA from 1 species
UAUAUUAUAUUAUAUUAUUUUAUAUUAUAUUCAUAUAAUAUACUAACACUCCUGACCCGUGAAAGUAGUGACAAAAAUAACAAUACAAGACUCUUUAGAGUCCUUGUAAUUGGAAUGAGUCCACUUUAAAUCCUUUCAUAAGGAUCCAUUGGAGGGCAAGUCUGGUGGCAGCAGCUGUGGUAACUCCAGCUCCAAUAGUGUAUAUUAAAGUUGCUGGAGUUAGAAAGCUCCUAGUUGGAUCUUGGGAGUGGGCAGUGAUCCGUCGUGAGGUGAGUCAUACCUCUCGGUGCCCCCUUCCAUACUCUUAGCUGAGUGUUCCACCCAGGCUGAAGCAUUUUGAAAAAAAAUUCAAAGCAGACUGGAACUGGACUUAACUCUCCAAUUAAGCAACAUAAAUUGUCUAGUUGGAUUAAAA